rnacentral:rRNA from 1 species
UGGGGAAUUUUGGACAAUGGGCGAAAGCCUGAUCCAGCCAUGCCGCGUGUCUGAAGAAGGCCUUCGGGUUGUAAAGGACUUUUGUUGGGGAGCAAAUGCUGAUCGCUAAUACCGAUUGGAGCUGAGAGUACCCAAAGAAUAAGCACCGGCUAACUACGUGCCAGCAGCCGCGGUAAUACGUAGGGUGCAAGCGUUAAUCGGAAUUACUGGGCGUAAAGGGUAUGCAGGCGGUUUUGUAAGCUUGAUGUGAAAUCCCCGGGCUUAACCUGGGAACUGCAUUGAGAACUACAAGACUAGAGUGUGUCAGAGGGGGGUGGAAUUCCGCGUGUAGCAGUGAAAUGCGUAGAGAUGCGGAGGAACACCGAUGGCGAAGGCAGCCCCCUGGGAUAGCACUGACGCUCAGAUACGAAAGCGUGGGUAGCAAACAGG